GACAGAGGGUGCAAGCGUUAAUCGGAAUUACUGGGCGUAAAGCGCACGUAGGUGGAUUAUUAAGUUGGAUGUGAAAUCCCUGGGCUUAACCUAGGAAUUGCAUUCAAAACUGCUAGUCUAGAGUACAGUAGAGGGAAGUGGAAUUUCCGGUGUAGCGGUGAAAUGCGUAGAUAUCGGAAAGAACAUCAGUGGCGAAGGCGACUUCCUGGACUGAUACUGACACUGAGGUGCGAAAGCGUGGGGAGCAAACAGG
rnacentral:rRNA from 1 species